rnacentral:misc_RNA from 1 species
CUUUUUGUAGAUUGGUGCGCAUUUCACAAGUUUACAAAUAAAACGGAUGUUUCUUUUAAGAAAAGAUGCAUCAGAUACUAAGUAAGUUGGCUCUACUGAUGAGCAUCCUACACGUUGAAGGACUUUUCUUUCACAUAAGGGGGAUGGAGCGAAAAUGCUUUAAAACGGAGACACCGGAAGAUACAAAUCUAAUAGUUAACUAUAAGGUGGAGGAGUAUGAUCCCCCAUCCAAUAAUUGUACGCGGCUUCCGAAAAAUUAUGAACUGCAUAUAGAAGUAACAGAUAACGACGACAAAAUUUUUUUAAGCCGCGAUUAUCCGGCAGAGAGUCGAAUCACCUUCACGGUAUUUCGAGAAGGCGAUACUUCUAUCUGUCUAAGUUCCAAGAAUCCCAACAAGUUCAAAUGGCUUCGUGUUCACUUGGACAUCCAGGCAAAGACGAGCAACGAGAAUACAUUGAAAGAACGUAAGAUGGACACCAUGCUGUUGCGUGUAAGGCAGCUUUUGGACCAGGCCGAGCAGAUCAAAAAGGAGCAAAACUAUCUGCGCUAUCGGGAAUUCAAUUUUCAAUAAUUAGUGAGGAUAUUUAUUCUAGUGUGUUUUUUUGGUCGUUGCUUCAAGUCUCGAUGCUGGUAUGCAUCUGGAUUUUUGUUUCUGCUCGCGUAAGUCAGCAAUCUGUUAUGUACGGGGUGUUCUGUAAACUUAUCCAUGAAAAGGAGCUUUCCAAGGUAAUUAACGGUCCAACGCCUAUUUUUCAUAACAUUUUUCAUAAUUUCUAAAAUGGGCAUUCCCUUUGGUCAACUCUUAUAUACUCAUUUAGAAUUCAAAAGUUCAGGACGAGAAGAGCUUACUGUACAUUAAUGGAAAUCAUCGGGCCGCAGGGGCAACAUCUAUCUGGCAGCGAAAUUUCGCAGUGGAUCAAACAAGUUGCAGAUUCUGAAAAAGCAGAACAUUUUGACGAAAGCGAUUUAAUCUCUAUCACCGAAAAACUUCAGACAAAAGUUAAAGAAUUUGCGGAUUUGCUCAAGGGUCCAAUACCAGUUUCCCAAAACAAUCCUACUGACAAACACUUGAAAGCCAAUUUAUCCCUUUUAUUGGCCACCGCCGAACAAAAUCGGGGUAAUAACAUCAAAUGCAACGGAGUUCUAAUGACCUGCGACUGCAAAGAUUGCACUCCUAAGGAGCAAAGAAAACAACUUGUCA